rnacentral:rRNA from 1 species
CCUACGGGCGGCAGCAGUGGGGAAUAUUGGGCAAUGGAGGAAACUCUGACCCAGCAAUGCCGCGUGAAUGAAGAAGGUCUUCGGAUUGUAAAGCUCUUUAGUCAGGGAAGAAUAAAAUGACGGUACCUGAAGAAUAAGCUCCGGCGAACUACGUGCCAGCAGCCGCGGGAAUACGUAGGGAGCAAGCGUUGUUCGGAAUGACUGGGCGUAAAGGGUGCGUAGGCGUUUAUACAAGGUAGAAGGGAAAUACCCAGGGCUUAACUCGGGUGCUGCUUCUAAAACUGUAAGACUUGAGUGCAGGAGAGGUUAGUGGAAUUCCUGGUGUAGCGGUGGAAUGCGUAGAUAUUAGGAAGAACCCCAGAGGCGAAGGCGGCUAACUGGACUGCAACUGACGUUGAGGCACGAAAGUGUGGGGAGCAAACAGGAUUAGAUACCCUAGUAGUC